CGGGUGAGUAACACGUGAGUAACCUGCCCCCCUGUUUGGGAUAAGCCUGGGAAACUGGGUCUAAUACCGAAUACUCCUUAAUUAACUCAUGUUGGUUUUGGGAAAGAUUUAUUGCUGGGGGAUGGACUCGCGGCCUAUCAGCUUGAUGGUGGGGUAAUGGCCUACCAUGGCUUUGACGGGUAGCCGGCCUGAGAGGGCGACCGGCCACACUGGGACUGAGACACGGCCCAGACUCCUACGGGAGGCAGCAGUGGGGAAUAUUGCACAAUGGGGGAAACCCUGAUGCAGCGACGCCGCGUGCAGGAUGAAGGCCUUCGGGUUGUAAACUGCUUUCAGCAAGGAAGAAGCGAAAGUGACGGUACUUGCAGAAGAAGCGCCGGCUAACUACGUGCCAGCAGCCGCGGUAAUACGUAGGGCGCAAGCGUUGUCCGGAAUUAUUGGGCGUAAAGAGCUCGUAGGCGGUCUGUCGCGUCUGGCGUGAAAACACAAGGCUCAACUUUGUGCUUGCGUCGGGUACGGGCGGACUUGAAUGUUGUAGGGGAGACUGGAAUUCCUGGUGUAGCGGUGGAAUGCGCAGAUAUCAGGAGGAACACCAAUGGCGAAGGCAGGUCUCUGGGCAAUUAUUGACGCUGAGGAGCGAAAGCAUGGGGAGCGAACAGGAUUAGAUACCCUGGUAGUCCAUGCCGUAAACGUUGGGCACUAGUUGUGGGGACCAUUCCACGGUUUCCGUGACGCAGCUAACGCAUUAAGUGCCCCGCCUGGGGAGUACGGUCGCAAGACUAAAACUCAAAGGAAUUGACGGAAUCA
rnacentral:rRNA from 1 species